CCCUAGCAGCAUGGCAAAUAGGUCCCAUAUGGGUCCCAUAAAGAUUGUCCCAUAUGAUCUCGAAAAUGCGGUUCUGACUGGAUCUCCUAAUACAAGCAACUACUUUUAGCCAAUGGCAGACGUGCACAGCCACCGCGGCCGCCAUUUUUAAAUUUUUGUUUCAAUUCGCCAUUUUGUUCUCCAGCAGCUGAGCGGAAAUUUAAGUGUUCUCCAGGAUCAAUUGCAAGCAGCAUUCGACUGUUCGACAAUACAGUACGUUUUUCUAACUUAUACAUACUCUAAGGUAAAUAUAUUAGCUAUUUAUUCAUUCCAAUAAUGUCCAAAUUCAAUGCAGAAUACCACGCUCAGAGAAGAAGAAUUAGAGCACACGUUCAGAAAUACACGAAAGCAAUAAAUGCAGAAGUUUUCCAGAAAGAAGUAAAGGCAGGCUCAGCAGUUCUGAACCCUAGCAAUUUGAUAAUUAUUUAGUCGUAAUUAAUGAUGCAGAGAAUUCGGAGCUGUCAGAAUUUCCUCCAAUAACUUGUGAUAACGAUUUAUCUGGCGAUAUUUCAUCAGCUGUUAUAGCAUCCACUCGCGAUCGGUUUCAGCUUCGCAAUACCUAGAUCAGGAUCAAAACGAAACAGAUGUAAUGGAAAGGGAUUCUUUUCUUGAUUAUUUAGAUCAGGAAGAUCAAAGUGAAACAGACAGCGACACUGAAUUAUUACAGAAUACCAAGCGCAUAUCAGAAAACGAUUUGUAUCAGGAUUUAGCACUGGGCAAGCCAAUGUAACAUUACACUUAGUUCUUUGUCUCGUUUACUGAGUAUUCUACGUAAUUACCAUCCAUCUCUCCCCAAGCAUCCCAGAACACUGUUGAAAACCCCCCAAACGUUAAACAUUAGAUCUGUAGAAAAUAGUUCUGAAUAUUAUUUUCACUUUGGACUUAAAGAAUCUCUGUCUAAAUCUAGUCUGGUUGGAUUAUCAGAAAAGUACGUUCUUAAGAAAGAUUAAGGUAAGACUGUUCCACUUCAACACAUUUUGAUCUGUCAUUAUCAAUUUGAAUUGUUCUUCUGUCUUGUUUAGUUACUUUUUAAUAAUUUCUUGAAAAGGGGGUAAAUUCAUGGGUACAGGGGGGGGGGGGGCCUUUAGGAGGGAAAGAAAUGUACUGGGCUGUGUUGUGUUUAACACCUGCAUUUGAACUAUCAGUGCAAAUAUGCUGUAUACAUACAUAUUUUAUUUAUGCUUGCUUUACACAUUUAACAGUGAUGUUUACAAAGAGAUAGGCUUUGCAUAUUUAGGAUAAAAUGCCUACAAACUGCAUGUUGUUUCAGCAGAUGGCCUAUUCCAUGGUGAGUUUUUGGAAGAAGCAGAAGGUUUAAAGGGGCCAGUAGCUGUAAUUCCAGACAGCUGGCUGCUAGCAUUUUUAAAGAUUCCAGUGGUCGCAGGAUGUGCAACUGGCCAUCAAAAUCUUCAAGCUUCAUUAUUAAACACCAGAUUCCUCAUGGCCCAUACAUCCAGUUCGCUUGCACAAGUCAUUAAGACAAAGGAAGGAGAUAAAAAGAUGAUAUCUGGACUGUUGGAACAAGUAACAGGGAUGCACAGCUAACAGACAGCGAAGGAGAAAAGAAUGCCGAGGAAUCACUAUGUGAUGACCAUUCAAUGCAGCAGUGUCCACUACCAUUUCCAUACUCUCUGCCGCCAGUAGUUGUCAGCCCUAGGGUGUCCCCAAGUAGCAGCUAUCGCCAAAGUACUAUUUCACCUUUGCCUUCACAUCUCCAACACUCAUUCUCAGGUUUUCAUCCUGCCAGCAUAGGGACCCAACCCCUUGGAAGUUUCAGCUCAACUAGAGAAACUUGGGACAGCAGCAACUGUCUUUUCUGGAAGAGAUGAGAGAUGAUAUAAAAGAUGUGAAAAGGAGGCUUCAAGGAUGGAGAAACAACACCAGGAAAAGGAGGUGACAGGAGGAAAACUGCCAGAGGGGUUCCAGUUUCCCUUACAAUCUUCAGAGGAUGUUGACCAUCUGGAGUGGGAUUGGAAGACUGACCCUGGAAAAUGGACACACUUGGAAUGCCAUUUGACGAUGGGUGGAAUAUUCACUUUAAAGCAUGUGGUGAGGAGCAUACUAUCUGUGCUAUUGUCAACUGACUCAGCCCGGUGUUACAACUUCAAUGGUCUGAAAGAGAAGAAGGGACUCAAGAACCACUCCUUUAUUUUACAAACAGUUCAGGAUGCUGCAAGAAAAAGUUAUCCUGAAGCUACAGAUGCUGACCUGCAUGUGUAUACAUCAAUUUGGUUAGCUGGUGCUCGGGAUCGAGAAAAUAGCAGAAGGGAAGGGCCUGAGCACAGCCUGUACAAGUCAGUAAAUUGUUAUGGGGUGGACGACGAGUAAAGCUGUACAACUUUACCUGCAGAAAAAAAGACUGUUAGGUUUUUAACGAGAUUUUUUUUUAUCAGCUAUUUAUAAAAGUACAAGUUUUAAAUUUGCAUAUUUUUUUUAAAUGGUUGUAGUUAAUACCAGAAGCUGCAAUCCAGCCUGGAACCGUUUAUAUUUAAUCUCGUGGAUUUUAUUUAUUAUAAGAAAUGUCUGUUGAAGCUUUAAUCACUCCCUUUUGAAAGCAAUUCAGUUCAUGCUCAUCAUUUGAUAUAUUGUAAUAGAUCUUUGAACCUUUUCUUUGGGAAAAAUCUAAUUAAUGUAAAACUGCAAUUUAAUUUUAAUGGUUUUGUCAGUGGAUUCUUGUUUUUGCUUCUUCUACAACUCAUAAUCAAAUAACGAGUGUUGCAUUAACAUGUCAUGAGGAAACAUUUUUUUAUGCAUUUAAAUGGGACAAUGCUUCACAAUUGUUGUAUAUUUAAAAUUAUUUUUUUAAUGACCUUGCUUUUUAUCCUUAUUUUCACAGACAUUUUAACUUCAAUAAACGUCAGUAAAAGACAAAUCAUGUUUUUG